rnacentral:rRNA from 1 species
UACGGAGGGGGCUAGCGUUGUUCGGAAUUACUGGGCGUAAAGCGCGCGUAGGCGGAUCUGCAAGUCGGGGGUGAAAUCCCGAGGCUCAACCUCGGAACUGCCUUCGAUACUGCGGGUCUCGAGUCCGGGAGAGGUGAGUGGAAUUCCUAGUGUAGAGGUGAAAUUCGUAGAUAUUAGGAAGAACACCAGUGGCGAAGGCGGCUCACUGGCCCGGUACUGCCGCUGAGGCGCGAAAGCGUGGGGAGCAAACAGG